rnacentral:rRNA from 1 species
UCUAAACCUUUCUUGCGAUGUUAGUGUGCGUUUUCAACGGAUACGAKUACAAUAUCUCAAUUUGUUGUCAUUACAGAUGAAUGAGUGAUGUAAUUCGUACGAUCAUUCAUGGAAAUYGAGGGUUUUUAGUUGUUUUCAAACCCUKUGCGCAUUUAGAAGUCAUUUCCGCGUCAAUUUUGAUGUUUAAUUUGAAAAUUUGUCGUGCAUUCCCUAUGAAAUCAAUUGUAUAGUAACAAAAUGCGUUCGAAACAAGAUCCGUCCCACGUUUUUAUUUUUAUUUUUUUUAUUUUCUAUUUGUUUCAUUUUUAUUUAUUAAUUGAUGAAUAGAAAAGGCUUUCGCAAAAUGAGUUAUACUACAAAUUGUGUGCGAAUG